CUCAAGCCAUGAACGGUGGAGCAUGCGCACCAUAUGUGUAAUGCGUUGCCGGUGACAGAUAGGGCUUUGGUUCCCGUCUCCGGGUGUUUUCGAAUGAAGCAGCAAGAAAGGCCCGAGGGGGCGGUGCAGCUCAAGAAGCAAUAAUCACCAACAUCACAAGCUUUCAUGCAGAAUAAGGUGCCAUGUUGAAUCCAGUGCGAGUUCAGUUUCCAACAGUUCAUCGUGUCAGAGAGGGUCAGACAGUGAGAAUGAACUGUGCACCAUGAGAAGCAUCAAACUGCAAGAAAUGAUCAUUCAUUGGUAGCAACAGUUCCUGAGGAAAAGAAAGGGCAAGAUGAUAGCUCGUUCCAGAAAUAAUUCACCAGGAAAUUCCUCCAGCUUUCCUGCUUCAUUUCAACUUUCCAGAGAGCCCUCCUAGAACAGCUUCAUUCUGCCCAUUACAAAUGUACAGACCAUUGACACUGCCAUCUCUACCUGCAAUGUGUGGGGCUAUAUCCAUUCAAUUACUGUCCCUCAGUCUAGUCUAUAAGACCAUAAGAUAUAAGAGCAGAAGGAGGCCAUUUGGCCCAUCGAGCCUCGUUUGCCAUCAUGGCUCACCUGUUUCUCAACUUCAUUCACCUGGCCACACCCAAUAACUUUUGACUUCCUUACUGACCAAAAUCUAUCUAUCUCUGUCUUAUAUACACUCAAUGACUUGGCCUCCAAAGCCCUUUGCAUAAUAGGUUCCACAGAUUCAUCGCCCUUUGGCUGAUAAAAUUCCUUCUCAUCUCAGCUGCCCUUGUGGAAUGUCACCCAGACUAAUUUCUUCCCAUGUGACUCUGUGUGAGAAACCCUGGAAAGUUUUCCAGUGUUAAAGGCACUAUGAAAAUAAAAGUUGUUGUUGUUGUUUAAUCAGGUUUGAGCCAAUCCACGCAUCAGUUUCCAUAUGUUAACCUAAUAUGGCUUUCAAAUGUUGCAGUCAGAGACUGGAAAAUGACAUCAUGAACAACAGGGAACAACAGUUGCUGCCUGUGGUCUGGGUGUUUUCUUCUUGCUCAUCUUUGUUGAUUAUUUUUUGGCUGAGUGUGUUCAGCAGAUAUCUUCAGUUGUGCUUGGUUUCACUGAUAUAACCAGUUUCUGAAUAAAAAUUAAUUAUC